GAUCUUUCCUCUGAAAUCUCCUUUUCAGAUAUUACGCUUUUUUCUCUAUCAUCAAGAUUGAGAGAGGAUCAAGUGCACUAAUUAGCUAUAGCUAAUAGGAAUUGCAAGGUUAUUUUGUUAUCUUCCUCUUCUGUUGUUCGGUUCCUUGAACCUCUUCUCCUUGGAGCUCGAACUGGCUCUAUUCUUAUCUCCUUUGCUCAUCACUGAUUUAUCUGUUAGAUACUUGAAUGGGAAAUUGAUGAUGGGCACCAAGGCUUUUUUGUUCUCGAUUGCGUUGUUACUGGAGAGCAGAUUUGCAGUUCUUCAUGAAAUCAAGUGUGAGGAGUUGUUGUUUAAUGAGGAGCCAGAAAAGGUGCGAUUUAAAUCAUGCAAGAGUUGUUCUCUCCUGUGAAAUUCAAGAAGAAGAGGGAGCUAGUAAUGGAUAAUAGGUAGCUUAUAUUUGAGAGUUCCAAGAAGAAAUUGAUUGAGCUAAAUGUGACCUCGUGCCAGAGGAGGUGUGACGAGAUGCAAUGCAAUGUAAUGGAAACGUCCCUUAUACCAAAGUGCCUAUCUAGGUUCAAGGACCUAACAAGUAGUGAGGAGAUUUGCUGGAUUUGAGCUCUGAAAAGGUGGAGAACUAUGAGUAGAAGUUGAAAAUUUCCUACAUUGAGCACGUACACCUGUGCUGCUUAUGGAUGUGAUUGAAGCCACUUUUGCUGAUGUUUUUCAAAACGGUUGAUGCCACUUUUUCUGCUGCCUUUUGGAUGUUGUUGUAGUUAUUUUUUGCUACUGUCAUAUUAGAGUACGGCACGAGCCAAUCUUAACACAAAUUAUGUAUGGGUCCAAAUUUGACCGACCACGACCUAUAACGAGUAUGACAAAUGACCGGGUAACUCUGAACCGGCGUCCCAAGGAAGACGACCCCAAGGCGAAAGGAAAAACCGUACAACCCUUGUAGAAGUGUAAACCCAUUAGGGUACAUUAAGAAUAUUCCUGGUAUUUUUGGUUUCUUACAAUUGGGAAGGUUUCAUCUCUAGUAUAUAAGGGAGACGAAAGACCUUGUAAAGGGGGACGGAGAAAAAACUUACCAAUCUUGAAUGAAAAGAAACUCUUCAAUUUUCUUCCUUUUA